AUUGAUAACUAAACUGAUUUUACCUGAAGGCACCUGGUCCCAUCUGGUCCUACAAGUUAAGCAGGGUUCAGGCCAGCUUGUACUUGGAAGGGGGAUGCCACAGAAUACCAGGUGCUGUAGGCU
rnacentral:rRNA from 1 species